AGGCUUAACACAUGCAAGUCGAGGGGCAGCGGUAUCGAAAGCUUGCUUUCGGUAGCCGGCGACCGGCGCACGGGUGAGUAACGCGUAUCGAACCUGCCCAUCACUCGGGAAUAGCCUUGCGAAAGUAAGAUUAAUGCCCGGUGUUUUCAGAGUCCCGCAUGAGGCUUUGAACAAAGAUUUAUCGGUAUGAGAUGGCGAUGCGUCCCAUUAGCUUGUUGGCGGGGUAACGGCCCACCAAGGCAUCGAUGGGUAGGGGUUCUGAGAGGAAGGUCCCCCACAUUGGAACUGAGACACGGUCCAAACUCCUACGGGAGGCAGCAGUGAGGAAUAUUGGUCAAUGGGCGGAAGCCUGAACCAGCCAAGUAGCGUGCAGGAAGACGGCCCUCCGGGUUGUAAACUGCUUUUAGUUGGGAAUAAAACGGGGCUCGUGAGCCCCCUUGCAUGUACCAUCAGAAAAAGGACCGGCUAAUUCCGUGCCAGCAGCCGCGGUAAUACGGAAGGUCCGGGCGUUAUCCGGAUUUAUUGGGUUUAAAGGGAGCGCAGGCGGACCUUUAAGUCAGCUGUGAAAUACGGCGGCUCAACGUCUGAACUGCAGUUGAUACUGGAGGUCUUGAGUACGCACACAGGGAUGCUGGAAUUCAUGGUGUAGCGGUGAAAUGCUCAGAUAUCAUGAAGAACUCCGAUCGCGAAGGCAGGCAUCCGGGGUGCAACUGACGCUGAGGCUCGAAAGUGCGGGUAUCAAACAGGAUUAGAUACCCUGGUAGUCCGCACAGUAAACGAUGAAUACUCGCGGUUUGCGAUACAAUGUAAGCCGCCAAGCGAAAGCGUUAAGUAUUCCACCUGGGGAGUACGCCGGCAACGGUGAAACUCAAAGGAAUUGACGGGGGCCCGCACAAGCGGAGGAACAUGUGGUUUAAUUCGAUGAUACGCGAGGAACCUUACCCGGGCUUGAACUGCCAGCGGCGGAUGCAGAGACGCAUCUUUCUUCGGACGCUGGCGGAGGUGCUGCAUGGUUGUCGUCAGCUCGUGCCGUGAGGUGUCGGCUUAAGUGCCAUAACGAGCGCAACCCUCAUCCUCGUUUGCCAUCAGGUGAUGCUGGGCACUCCGGGGACACUGCCAUCGUAAGAUGUGAGGAAGGUGGGGAU
rnacentral:rRNA from 1 species